rnacentral:lncRNA from 1 species
GCCAGGCUUAGAAUGAAAGGAGGAGGAGGAGGUGUGAGAGUGAAGGAAUGGCAGUUAAUUCCUGACUGCUGUGGGGGUUAGCCAGCCUUUUCCCUCUCUCUGACCACAGAUUUGGUUUUGAGGAGAAAAGAAGAGAAAACUUGAACUGCCCUGGUCGUUUUGGGGAAACACCAGGAAGCAAAUCCGUCUCUAUCUGCUGUUGUGAUGACAUUUUAUUUUGAAGAAGAAUCCCAGAAGAUCCUGCUUUCUUGGCCUGGGAAUUUCACCUCAAAGCCACACUCAGCUCAAGUCCAGGACAGCCAUUGUGAUGACCCAGACUCCAGCCUCCCUGUCUGUGGCUCUGGGAGGGAGUCACCAUCAGCUGCAGGGUCAGUCAGGGUAAUGGCAGUGCAUUAGCCUGGUACCAGCAGCCUCUAGGAAAACCUCCAAACUUCUUAUCUCAGGUGCUAAAUAUCUAGCAUCUGGGGUCCCUGCCUGCUUCAGUCACAAUGAGUCUGGGGCAGAUUUUACUCUCACAAUCAGCAGUGUGGAGGCUGAGGAUGAUGCACAUUACUACUGUCAGCAAGGUUAUGAUUCUCCCACAGUGAUGGUACCCUGGACAAAAACCUCCCCAGGCUGAGUAGCCCUUCAGCUCAGGGCAGCAGCAAUGUUUCAUUGACUAUCUCUUUAGGCUCCACAUCUGUUGUUAAGUUCUAAGGAAACACAUAUGUAGAAAAUUGGUUGUGUGCCAGAAAAGCAUGUACUCACUGAACCUAUAAAAUAAGCCAACUUCAUGCCAUAGCAUGACACUAUGUGAUGCCUACACAAGUGGGACAGAACACAUAGGGCUUCUCACUCCAUUAUUCGAUUGAAAUACUCACACCUUGACAGAGGAACCCGGACCCUCAGAGAGACUACUGAAUGGAUCUCUAAAGGGUUGAAUGCACUUGUUUUGUAUGUAUACUCUUAUGCUGAAGGGGACUGCCCCCUAACUGGCUUUUAAUCAAUGCACCUAGCAGGCACUGGUUUGGUUCUCUUUUCCUCUCAUUCUCAAUUUAUUGUAAAUUCAAAGUUGGAAUGUUACAAGACCCAUUGGAGAGAGAGAGAGUCUUUCUUGGCUCAUACAGGAGAAUAUAUACUUGAAAAUCUGUUACCCUAAAAAAGAACUACAUAUCUCAAGAGCCCACUGGCUUCCUGUCAUUACAUAUUUUGUGAAAACAGAGGAUAAAGUGAGUGGAAAUGGAGGCUAUGACUCUUUUUUUGGCGUGCAGUCAGCAGUGAUGGUGGUGAGAAGGGAUUUUGAAAAUGGCUAACCAGGCAUGGACAUGUGGUUUUUAUUUUGUAUCCUCUUUACUCCUUGAUUUCUAAUGAUCAUAUUAUAAACCUCCUAAAAUAUAAUAUAUUUAAUAUAAAGAUGUGCAUUUACAGAGAAUGACCAAAAUAUGACAGAGAAACAUCGUAUGAGCACAAGCUGUUGGGAAAAUGGUGCCAAUAAACUUCCUCAAAAAGACUGACA